UACGGGGGGGGCAAGCGUUGUUCGGAAUUACUGGGCGUAAAGGGCUCGUAGGCGGCCAACUAAGUCAGACGUGAAAUCCCUCGGCUUAACCGGGGAACUGCGUCUGAUACUGGAUGGCUUGAGGUUGGGAGAGGGAUGCAGAAUUCCAGGUGUAGCGGUGAAAUGCGUAGAUAUCUGGAGGAAUACCGGUGGCGAAGGCGGCAUCCUGGACCGACAUUGACGCUGAUGAGCGAAAGCUAGGGGAGCAAACGGG
rnacentral:rRNA from 1 species